GGAGGGCCAUAGCUCAGUGGGAGAACAUCUGCUUUGCAUACAGAAGAUUUAAGGUUCAAUCCCUGACAUCUCCA